GAUGAACGCUGGCGGCGUGCCUAAUACAUGCAAGUCGAGCGAACGGACGAGAAGCUUGCUUUUCUGAUGUUAGCGGCGGACGGGUGAGUAACACGUGGAUAACCUACCUAUAAGACUGGGAUAACUUCGGGAAACCGGAGCUAAUACCGGAUAAUAUUUUGAACCGCAUGGUUCAAAAGUGAAAGACGGUCUUGCUGUCACUUGUAGAUGGAUCCGCGCUGCAUUAGCUAGUUGGUAAGGUAACGGCUUACCAAGGCAACGAUGCAUAGCCGACCUGAGAGGGUGAUCAGCCACACUGGAACUGAGACACGGUCCAGACUCCUACGGGAGGCAGCAGUAGGGAAUCUUCCGCAAUGGGCGAAAGCCUGACGGAGCAACGCCGCGUGAGUGAUGAAGGUCUUCGGAUCGUAAAACUCUGUUAUUAGGGAAGAACAGAUGUGUAAGUAACUGUGCACAUCUUGACGGUACCUAAUCAGAAAGCCACGGCUAACUACGUG
rnacentral:rRNA from 1 species